UACCUUGAAACUUACUUAAUAUUACUAUAUAAUGAAUACGUGUUUUGUACACUAUAGCAAUAAAAUUACUUUGUAAUAGAUGUAUUGGACCCGAGGGCAGUGCUCGGCACCUCCACUAUUAUUUUUAUUAUUUACACGAGGGGGUGAACAAGUAUCGACAUACAUAGUAAAGAUAGUAACUUUGCUCGGUUAGAUACCACCGUUAAGAGUUUAUAAUUUAAAUGCAAAUGAUAAUUUUGCUGCCGACAGUAAUGUUAUAACAUCAGCUGCUUAAUCUCAAGCACUGUAAUUUCAUUACUAUAAGCACGGUUAGGGAACGCCGGGUAACAGAAAGUUCCCUUU
rnacentral:tmRNA from 1 species